rnacentral:rRNA from 1 species
GAGUAACGUGUGGGCAACCUGCCCUAUACUGGGGGAUAAUCACUGGAAACGGUGACUAAUACCGCAUGUCAUUACGAGAAGGCAUCCUUCUGUAAGAAAAGGAGUAAUUCGGUAUAGGAUGGGCCCGCAUCUGAUUAGCUAGUUGGUGAGAUAACAGCCCACCAAGGCGACGAUCAGUAGCCGACCUGAGAGGGUGAUCGGCCACAUUGGGACUGAGACACGGCCCAAACUCCUACGGGAGGCAGCAGUGGGGAAUAUUGCACAAUGGGGGAAACCCUGAUGCAGCAACGCCGCGUGAAGGAAGAAGGUUUUCGGAUCGUAAACUUCUAUCAACAGGGACGAAGAAAGUGACGGUACCUGAAUAAGAAGCCCCGGCUAACUACGUGCCAGCAGCCGCGGUAAUACGUAGGGGGCAAGCGUUAUCCGGAAUUACUGGGUGUAAAGGGAGCGUAGGCGGCACGCCAAGCCAGAUGUGAAAGCCCGAGGCUUAACCUCGCGGAUUGCAUUUGGAACUGGCGAGCUAGAGUACAGGAGAGGAAAGCGGAAUUCCUAGUGUAGCGGUGAAAUGCGUAGAUAUUAGGAAGAACACCAGUGGCGAAGGCGGCUUUCUGGACUGAAACUGACGCUGAGGCUCGAAAGCGUGGGGAGCAAACAGGAUUAGAUACCCUGGUAGUCCACGCCGUAAACGAUGAGUGCUAGGUGUCGGGGAGGAAUCCUCGGUGCCGCAGCUAACGCAAUAAGCACUCCACCUGGGGAGUACGACCGCAAGGUUGAAACUCAAAGGAAU